rnacentral:rRNA from 1 species
GACAGAGGUGCCGAGCGUUAGGCGGAAUCACUGGGCUUAAAGCGUGUGUAGGCGGACCGUUAAGUGUCUUGUGAAAUCCCCCGGCUCAACCGGGGAAUUGCUGGGCAUACUGGCGGUCUUGAGCAGUCUAGGGGCAGAUGGAACAAGUGGUGGAGCGGUGAAAUGCGUAGAUAUCACUUGGAACGCCAAAGGUGAAGACAGUCUGCUGGGGACUUGCUGACGCUGAGACACGAAAGCCAGGGGAGCGAACGAG